rnacentral:rRNA from 1 species
UGCUGGAGGUAUCAGAAGUGCGAAUGCUGACAUAAGUAACGAUAAAGCGGGUGAAAAGCCCGCUCGCCGGAAGACCAAGGGUUCCUGUCCAACGUUAAUCGGGGCAGGGUGAGUCGACCCCUAAGGCGAGGCCGAAAGGCGUAGUCGAUGGGAAACGGGUUAAUAUUCCCGUACUUGGUGUUACUGCGAAGGGGGGACGGAGAAGGCUAUGUUGGCCGGGCGACGGUUGUCCCGGUUUAAGCGUGUAGGUGUGUGUUCCAGGUAAAUCCGGUUCACUUUAACACUGAGGCGUGACGACGAGGCACUACGGUGCUGAAGCAACAAAUGCCCUGCUUCCAGGAAAAGCCUCUAAGCAUCAGGUAACACGAAAUCGUACCCCAAACCGACACAGGUGGUCAGGUAGAGAAUACCAAGGCGCUUGAGAGAACUCGGGUGAAGGAACUAGGCAAAAUGGUGCCGUAACUUCGGGAGAAGGCACGCUGACACGUAGGUGAAGUGAUUUACUCACGGAGCUGAAGUCAGUCGAAGAUACCAGCUGGCUGCAACUGUUUAUUAAAAACACAGCACUGUGCAAACACGAAAGUGGACGUAUACGGUGUGACGCCUGCCCGGUGCCGGAAGGUUAAUUGAUGGGGUCAGCGCAAGCGAAGCUCCUGAUCGAAGCCCCGGUAAACGGCGGCCGUAACUAUAACGGUCCUAAGGUAGCGAAAUUCCUUGUCGGGUAAGUUCCGACCUGCACGAAUGGCGUAAUGAUGGCCAGGCUGUCUCCACCCGAGACUCAGUGAAAUUGAACUCGCUGUGAAGAUGCAGUGUACCCGCGGCAAGACGGAAAGACCCCGUGAACCUUUACUAUAGCUUGACACUGAACAUUGAGCCUUGAUGUGUAGGAUAGGUGGGAGGCUUUGAAGUGUGGACGCCAGUCUGCAUGGAGCCGACCUUGAAAUACCACCCUUUAAUGUUUGAUGUUCUAACGUGGACCCGUAAUCCGGGUUGCGGACAGUGUCUGGUGGGUAGUUUGACUGGGGCGGUCUCCUCCUAAAGAGUAACGGAGGAGCACGAAGGUUGGCUAAUCCUGGUCGGACAUCAGGAGGUUAGUGCAAUGGCAUAAGCCAGCUUGACUGCGAGCGUGACGGCGCGAGCAGGUGCGAAAGCAGGUCAUAGUGAUCCGGUGGUUCUGAAUGGAAGGGCCAUCGCUCAACGGAUAAAAGGUACUCCGGGGAUAACAGGCUGAUACCGCCCAAGAGUUCAUAUCGACGGCGGUGUUUGGCACCUCGAUGUCGGCUCAUCACAUCCUGGGGCUGAAGUAGGUCCCAAGGGUAUGGCUGUUCGCCAUUUAAAGUGGUACGCGAGCUGGGUUUAGAACGUCGUGAGACAGUUCGGUCCCUAUCUGCCGUGGGCGCUGGAGAACUGAGGGGGGCUGCUCCUAGUACGAGAGGACCGGAGUGGACGCAUCACUGGUGUUCGGGUUGUCAUGCCAAUGGCACUGCCCGGUAGCUAAAUGCGGAAGAGAUAAGUGCUGAAAGCAUCUAAGCACGAAACUUGCCCCGAGAUGAGUUCUCCCUGAGACUUAGAGUCUCCUGAAGGAACGUUGAAGACGACGACGUUGAUAGGCCGGGUGUGUAAGCGCAGCGAUGCGUUGAGCUAACCGGUACUAAUGAACCGUGAGGCUUAACCUUACAACGCCGAAG